rnacentral:lncRNA from 1 species
AUGACCUGCUGAUGCCUCUGCUGAAAUCCGUGGCCACUGGCCAACAGCUUGACAAGAGUGUCAGCUCCCUCCCGAGACGAAAUCAGAGGAAAACGCCUCUAGUUUCUAAGAAGCACACAGGGAGCCACUUCUUUACCGCUAGCUCCUGCAGGAUCUGUGGGAUCCUGCAGGUGCUGGUUUGCCUCCUGAGCCCUGUCCUAAGGACACUCUGCACAUCGCCUCCUGACAGAUGGGCUUUCACAUUCAAGAGACACUGGAGCUGCCAUAACCUUGAGUGGACAUGAGCUUGGCCAGAUUGCACUGUCCAAAUGCCAGGACCCAGGGCCCCGGGGAGGUCUCUGGUGCAUGCGGCAGUGCUCUUGGAGGAUCUUGAUCACUCCAGCGCAUUCCUUGCAGCAAUCUGCACUUGGAACAGCGUUUGAUAUGGAAGGAAACACUAGUAUAAUAUCAAGUUGUGUAUAAUUGCAAAACUUGCUGUCUCGGAUGUGAAAUAAAUUCGGCUAAUUUGUUGGUAGGAGCUAUCAUAGUAUUUUUUUGGUAUCAAUGUCACUGGAGACUAUAUCCCUGAAUAAGUGCCAGGCACUGGCUCUGAACUAACUAAAUGCUUUGCAUGUGUUAUUUCAU